rnacentral:rRNA from 1 species
UACGUAGGGUGCGAGCGUUAAUCGGAAUUACUGGGCGUAAAGCGUGCGCAGGCGGUGAUGUAAGACAGAUGUGAAAUCCCCGGGCUUAACCUGGGAACUGCAUUUGUGACUGCAUCGCUGGAGUGCGGCAGAGGUGGAUGGAAUUCCGCGUGUAGCAGUGAAAUGCGUAGAUAUGCGGAGGAACACCGAUGGCGAAGGCAAUCCCCUGGGCCUGCACUGACGCUCAUGCACGAAAGCGUGGGGAGCAAACAGG